ACAAAUUUUUUACAUUAUAUUUCAUAGUAGAAUUUUAUCUUUAUAGCAUUGCCUGGCUCAAAUUUGGCAAGUGACACCUACCUCGCUACGUUUGGAUAAAAACCUUACGAUGCCAAAGGGAACUGCUUACGACACGUGUAGGCGAUACUUGACAGAUUUAAAGCAGGCAGUGUUACGAAAUAUUGUGCGAUAUCUGUCUCUUUAGUGACCCUUAUAUCGUAGUGUACUAAAGGGGAUGUGUCGCUAAAGCUUUGCAAAUCCGCAACGGGGUAUUUUUUAUUUUCAAACUUUUAGCAAAACAAAAAGUUCGAUCGAAAUUUCCUUCAGUAGAACAAUUUAUUAAACUUAACACUACGGCGCUACAGACUCGGCUUUUCAUUGCAAGCUUUAUGUAUAAAGUUUUAUGUAAAAUUAGAUUUUAAGGUUGGCGCUGUAAUUGCGUGAGUACGCGUAAACAUCUGUUGGUAUUUCCAAGAUUUUAGAAAAACUAACCGUCCGAAAUUUCCCUUGGUAGAAUGAUUUAUUAAACCUAACACAAGAGCGCUACAAGCUUGGUUUAUCAUUACAAGCUUUAUUUAAAAAGUUAUACAUAAUGGAAAAAGUGUUUUUAGCGACGACAAACCCUCAAGGGGAUGUCGGCCCAAAAAAACACUGUUUUUCUAUUACAUAAAACUUUUUGCAUAAAGUUUGCAAAUGAAAAACCGAGUCGGUAGCGCCGUAGUGUUAAGUUUCCGUCCUGCAUACGUUGGCUCUACAAUAAAGGUGCAGCGGUCGUACAGGUGGUAUAUGAUAUACGCGUAUACCACAUUGAUCGGAGAGCAACCCCCCUGGGCCGAGUUUGCAGGGCAAACAUCCUCAUAGCUUCGCAAACCCGCCACUGGGUGUUUAAUAUUUCACAACUUAAAAAAAAACUAAAAGUCGAAUUGCCAUUUUCUUUUGGUAGAAUGAUUCACCAAUCUCAAGCCUAUGGCGCUCUGCUCGUUAUAUUCAUGAAAAUCCAAAUUAAAAAAAAGUUAUUAGUAAAAUUAGAUUUUGAGGUUAGCGCUGUAAUCGCGUGAACACCCGCUCGUAUUUCACAACUUUUACAAAAACUAAAAGUCCGAUUGUUACAGGGAACAGAAAAACAGUGUUUUUAGCUCCGACAUCCCCUCAAGGUAACGAAAAUAACAACACGUUAUUUAUAAAAGCGUAACACAAACUCGAACUCUCUUUAUUCAAAUCGUACACGACUCAGCUCAUCAGCUGUAACGAUCAGACUUAACAUAAACAACAACAUUCGCGACGUCGUUGAGCUCGUUGCUAAGGGUCGCUAUGCGCGAUUCUUGGCGUUCGAAUCCCGCAACGUUCAGGCUCGGUCACAUUAUAAAACUUUUUAAAUAAACCUUUUAAUGAAAAACUAGCUCUGUACCGGCCUAGUGUUGAAUUUAUUAAAUCAUUCUAUUGAAAGAAAAUGUAAAUUGGACUUAAAGUUUUUUUUUAAACUUUGGAAUUACAAAAUGCAAAAAGAGGGGGGCGAGCUUUGGACCGCUCCUUAAACCAGGUAUAGUAAUCCUGAUACUACUUUCUUUUAACAAAUUAUCUCCCCUUUUUCAUUUUGUAAUUCUUUCUGUGAAGUGAUUCAUUAAAUUCGCCUUGUUAAUGACAACCUACUCAGGGUUCCUAACUUCUCCACACCAUUUAAUUUUACACGGACUUCAUGGCGCUGCUGUAUCGUACACCCUACUCAGGGUUCCUAACUUCACCACUCCGUUUACUUUUACACGUACUUCGUGGCGCUGAUGGAUACUUAACAAGGCGAAUCUAACACUAGGCCGGCCAAGAACCGAUUUUUAAUUAGAACAUUUGUUUAGAAAGAAUAAUCAGUGAUAAACAGCGUUUUUAUCUCUAACUCCCCUUUAAUGUGUACAAAUAUUUAAACAUACAUGUAUUAUAAAAAGGAUUGCUUGUAUACUUGAAUUGAUCAGUAGAGUAUCUAAUUAGAUGCACUGCUAAAAGGCCUUUAUGACCUCGCGUUCUUGGUAGUGCUCGAUAAUAAAAACUUCUUGGCUUUA